UACGGAGGGUGCAAGCGUUGCUCGGAAUUAUUGGGCGUAAAGGGCAGGUAGGUGGUCUUAUUUGUCAGGGGUGAAAGCCUUGGGCUCAACUCAAGAAGUGCCCCUGAAACGGUAAGACUAGAGUCUUGGAGAGGCGAGUGGAAUUCCCGGUGUAGCGGUGAAAUGCGUAGAGAUCGGGAGGAACACCAGAGGCGAAGGCGGCUCGCUGGACAAGUACUGACACUCAACUGCGAAAGCGUGGGGAGCAAACAGG
rnacentral:rRNA from 1 species